rnacentral:misc_RNA from 1 species
AACUUGGGCUGCGGGAUUGAUGCUUUAAUGUUGAAAAUUACAUUCAUUGUAGUUUGAGGCUAAAAUGGAAUUAUUACUAGGAAAACUCCUUCCCCUGAGGGCCAUGAUUGGGAUUUGGGGAUGUCCCACUUUGAGGUUAGAUGUUUCUCAUAGUGUAAUAUCUGUAAUCAAUUUUCAAAAUUAGAACUUGUAAUUGAUAUCGAUUCUUUAGAGUAUCUAGAGAAGAGAAGGAUACUAUCUUGUAUAAGAUGUAUGAGGGGUCUGAGCUCCAGAUUGUAAAAAUGAAAUCUUUAUUCUGAUAGACAUUGAAGUUGUAUAAGAAUUAAGAGUUUUGACUGAGGAUUCUUGAAUAGCAGUAUACGUUUCUUAUUACUGGAAAGGACAAGUGAUGCAACUCUCACCCUGAGUUUUGGAGGUCAGGUUCACGAUUUCGGUAUCUGCUAUAUUAUAUUUGAAGCAAUAUUUUCUACCAGUGUGAGUUUGUGGGCACACCCUUGAUCUUUUUCUUGUACAACUUCA